rnacentral:rRNA from 1 species
AGUGAACGCUGGCGGUAGGCCUAACACAUGCAAGUCGAACGGAAGCACAGUAAGAGCUUGCUCUUACGGGUGGCGAGUGGCGGACGGGUGAGGAAUACAUCGGCAUCUACUUUUUCGUGGGGGAUAACGUAGGGAAACUUACGCUAAUACCGCAUAUGACCUACGGGUGAAAGCAGGGGAUCUUCGGACCUUGCGCGAUUGAAUGAGACGAUGCCGCAUUAGCUAGUUGGCGGGGUAAAGGCCCACCAAGGCAACGAUACGUAGCUGGUCUGAGAGGAUGAUCAGCCACACUGGAACUGAGACACGGUCCAGACUCCUACGGGAGGCAGCAGUGGGGAAUAUUGGACAAUGGGCGCAAGCCUGAUCCAGCCAUACCGCGUGAGUGAAGAAGGCCUUCGGGUUGUAAAGCCCUGUUGUUGGGAAAGAAAAGCAGCAUAUUAAUACCCCGCUGUUCUGACGGUACCCAAAGAAUAAGCACCGGCUAACUUCGUG